rnacentral:rRNA from 1 species
AACGAACGCUGGCGGCGUGCCUAACACAUGCAAGUCGAACGAGAAACUUCCCGCUUGCGGGAGGGAGUAAAGUGGCGCACGGGUGAGUAACGCGUGGGUAACCUGCCCUUGAAUCUGGGAUAACUCUGCGAAAGCGGUGCUAAUACCGGAUAUGGUUUCGAAGACUUCGGUUUUCGGGAUUAAAGGUGACCUCUUCAUGAAAGUUGCCGUUUAAGGAUGGGCCCGCGUACCAUUAGCUUGUUGGUAGGGUAAUGGCCUACCAAGGCUACGAUGGUUAGCUGGUCUGAGAGGAUGAUCAGCCACACUGGAACUGAAACACGGUCCAGACUCCUACGGGAGGCAGCAGUGAGGAGUUUUGCGCAAUGGGGGAAACCCUGACGCAGCAACGCCGCGUGAGCGAAGAAGGCCUUUGGGUCGUAAAGCUCUGUC